rnacentral:rRNA from 1 species
UACGUAGGGUGCAAGCGUUGUCCGGAAUUAUUGGGCGUAAAGGGCGUGCAGGCGGUUUGUUAAGUGCAGGGUGAAAGCUCCCGGCUCAACUGGGAGAGGUCCUUGCAUACUGGCGAACUCGAGGGAGGCAGAGGAAAGUGGAAUUCCUGGUGUAGCGGUGGAAUGCGCAGAUAUCAGGAAGAACACCCGUGGCGAAGGCGGCUCUCUGGAACGCAACUGACGCUGAGACGCGAAAGCGUGGGGAGCAAACAGG